rnacentral:tRNA from 1 species
GUAUCUAUAGCUCAGUUGGUAGAGCAAGAGACUGUUAACCUCUGGGUCUUCCGUUCAAGCCGGAAUAGGUACG